rnacentral:rRNA from 1 species
GAUGAACGCUGGCGGCGUGCCUAAUACAUGCAAGUCGAGCGAACGGACGAGAAGCUUGCUUUUCUGAUGUUAGCGGCGGACGGGUGAGUAACACGUGGAUAACCUACCUAUAAGACUGGGAUAACUUCGGGAAACCGGAGCUAAUACCGGAUAAUAUUUUGAACGGCAUGGUUCAAAAGUUAAAUACGGUUUUGCUGUCCCUUAUGGCUGUAUCCGCGCUGCAUUAGAUAGUUGGUAAGGUAACGGCUUACCAAGGCAACGAUGCAUGGCCGACCUGAGAGGGUGAUCGGCCCCACUGGAACUGAGACACGGUACAGACUCCUACGGGAGGCAGAAGUAGGGAAUCUUCCGCAAUGGGCGAAAGCCUGACGGAGCAACGCCGCGUGAGUGAUGAAGGUCUUCGGAUCGUAAAACUCUGUUAUUAGGGAAGAACAUAUGUGUAAGUAACUGUGCACAUCUUGACGGUACCUAAUCAGAAAGCAACGGCUAACUACGUG